rnacentral:lncRNA from 1 species
AGCUGCAGGGGCCCAAAGACUUGGACCAUUUUCUACUGCUUUCUCAGUCCAUCACAGAGAGCUGGAUUGGAAGUAGAGCAGCCCAAACUUGAACCUGUGCCCAUGUGAGAUGCAGACAUUGCAGGCAGUGGCUUUACCCACUACGCCACAGCACUGGUCCUUUUAUUGUCUCUUAAAAGAAACUCCUUGAUCAUCAUUACCCUCUUGAUCUCUAUCUCUGAGAAACUACCAAUCUCGUUUUUAAAUUUGCCUAUUCUGAACACCUCAUAUUAAAGGAAUUACAUAAUACAUGAUCUUUUAUGACUAGUUUUUAUCAUUUAUCAUGAUAUUUUUAUCCAUUGUGUGGCAUGUACAAAUAUUUCAUAAUAGUAAAUUAACUUUUAUUGCUGGAUAAUAGUUGAUCAAAUAUAUAUAUUACAUUUUAUUUAUUCAUUCAUCAGUUGAUUGACCUUUGAAUUCAGUCCACUUUUGGCUAUUAUGAAUCAAGUUACUAUGAACAUUCAUGAACAUAUUCUAGCAUUUACAUCAGUUUUCCUUUCUAUUAUAUUACUACAUUUAGAAUUACAUUUAGAAUUAUAAUUUUUGUGUUGUGUUUAACUGUGUGUGCAAUUCUUUGAGGAAAAUGUUCCAAGGUGACCCACCAUUUAGUUUUAUAGUUUGCCACAUAGUUUGCUACGUAAUUUUCCUGUCAUUCCAUCAGAGAAGAUGGAUAACAUAAAAUCACUUCCUCACUCACUUUGUAACUGGCCAUAUGACUAGAUGACAUUUUUGGUAAAUGGAUUUUUAAAAAUUUAUUUAUUUAAGAAGGAAAGAGAGAGAGAGAGAGAGAGAGAGAGAGAGUUCACUUGCUAAAUGUUCAUGAAAGGCUAGGCCUGGGGCAGGAGCUGUGGCACAACUAGUUAAGCAGCCGCGUGGGCUCCCUGCAACCCAUAUUGAAGUGCUUAGUUAAAGCUGUGACGUUCUCCACACUGCUGAUUCAGCUUCCUGCUAAAGCAGGCAGGAGGCAGCAGAUGACAACCCAAGUACAUGGUUUCCUG